rnacentral:rRNA from 1 species
GCGACGUCGCGAGAAUUCCACUGAACCUUAUCAUUUAGAGGAAGGAGAAGUCGUAACAAGGUUUCCGUAGGUGAACCUGCGGAAGGAUCAUUGUCGAACCCUGCAAAGCAGAACGACCCGUGAACGCGUAAAAACAACUGAGUGUCGUUAGGAUCAAGCGCUCGUUUGAUCCUCUCGACGCUCUGCCGAUGUGCGUUCCCUCGAGUUCUUCUGGACCUCGUGUGAAUGUCGUCGGCGCAAUAACAACCCCCGGCACAAUGUGUGCCAAGGAAAACUAAACUCAAGAAGGCUCGUUUCGUGUAGCCCCGUUCGCGGUGCGCUCAUGGGACGCGGCUUCUUUAUAAUCACAAACGACUCUCGGCAACGGAUAUCUCGGCUCACGCAUCGAUGAAGAACGUAGCAAAAUGCGAUACUUGGUGUGAAUUGCAGAAUCCCGUGAACCAUCGAGUUUUUGAACGCAAGUUGCGCCCGAAGCCUUUUGGCCGAGGGCACGUCUGCCUGGGCGUCACGCAUCGCGUCGCCCCCCACAAAUUCUCCGUCAGGGGAGCUUGUGUYUCGGGGGCGGAUACUGGUCUCCCGUGCUCAUGGCGCGGUUGGCCGAAAUAGGAGUCCCUUCGAUGGACGCACGAACUAGUGGUGGUCGUAAAAACCCUCGUCUUUUGUUUCGUGCCGUUAGUCGCGAGGGAAGCUCUUUAAAAACCCCARCGCGUCGUCUCUUGACGGCGCUUCGACCGCGACCCCAGGUCAGGCGGGACUACCCGCUGAGUUUAAGCAUAU